AGGGAUCAUUACCGAGUUUACAACUCCCAAACCCCUGUGAACAUACCUUUAAUGUUGCCUCGGCGGUGCCCGUCCCUCCCCCGUGAAAACGGGGAAGAGCGGCCCGCCAGAGGAUCCACAAACUCUAUUGUUUCCGCAGUAUCUUCUGAGUAAAAACAAGUAAAUAAUCAAAACUUUCAACAACGGAUCUCUUGGUUCUGGCAUCGAUGAAGAACGCAGCGAAAUGCGAUAAGUAAUGUGAAUUGCAGAAUUCAGUGAAUCAUCGAAUCUUUGAACGCACAUUGCGCCCGCCAGUACUCUGGCGGGCAUGCCUGUUCGAGCGUCAUUUCAACCCUCAAGCCCCAGCGGUUUGGUGUUGGGCGUCGGCCGUCCCUCUGCGGCGGCCGUGCCCCAAAUUCAGUGGCGGUCUCGCUGUUGCCUCCUCUGCGUAGUAGUUUACACCUCGCACCGGAACGACGCGAAGACCACGCCGUUAAACAACCCAAUUUUCUGAAUGUUGACCUCGGAUCAAGUAGGAAUACCCGCUGAACUUAA
rnacentral:rRNA from 1 species